rnacentral:rRNA from 1 species
AUUGAACGCUGGCGGCAGGCCUAACACAUGCAAGUCGAGCGGAGCGGCGGAAGGGUGCGUAAUGCCUCGGAAUCUGCCUGGUAGUGUGGGAGACCGUCCUGAAACGGGCGCUAAUACCGCAUACUAUCAGAUGAGCAUAGGUCGGAUUAGCUAGUUGGUGAGGCAAGGGAAUACCAAGCCGACGAUCCGUAACUGGUCUGAGAGGAUGAUCAGCCAACCUUGAACUUAGACACGGUCCAGACACCGACGGGAGGCAGCAGUGGGGAAUAUUGGACAAUGGGGGAAAGCCUGAUCCAGCCAUGCCGAGUGUGUGAAGAAGGUCUUCGGAUUGUAAAGCACUUUCAGUUGGAAGGCGUUACCAGCAGAAUAAGCAACGGCUAACUACGUGCCAGCAGCCGCGGUAAUAC